CGUAGGGAGCGAGCGUUGUCCGGAAUUACUGGGUGUAAAGGGAGCGUAGGCGGGAUCGCAAGUCAGAUGUGAAAACUAUGGGCUUAACCCAUAGACUGCAUUUGAAACUGCGGUUCUUGAGUGAAGUAGAGGUAAGCGGAAUUCCUAGUGUAGCGGUGAAAUGCGUAGAUAUUAGGAGGAACAUCGGUGGCGAAGGCGGCUUACUGGGCUUUUACUGACGCUGAGGCUCGAAAGCGUGGGGAGCAAA
rnacentral:rRNA from 1 species